AUAAAUACAAAAUUGGUUACACUCAGUCACAAUAAAUAUAUACUUAGUCAUAGAGGAUCACCACAAAAAAUAUGCACACGCCAAAGAACAUCAUCACAAUCCACGACCACUCACCACACUACCACUCUAAUGUACCAACGCUGCCACCUUCAAAUUAAAAUCCACAGCAACGAUUACCAUCAUUAUCACCAUCCUCCACUAACACCUUCAACAAACACCAACCAACACCACCGACAUCACAGCAUCAUCAAAACCACGACCAACUGCCGCCAAACCUUAAAGACCCCCAUCGAUUACAAAUCAUAAUCAUAAAAUUUCAACAAGCCAACUAAAAAAAAAAAAAAGAUUAACAAUCCGAAAUCUAAAAGCGACGAACAUGUGGUGUGCAUUCUCUUGCAGUUUCUUCAAGCACAAUUGGACCAUAGCCGAACCACCGUCUCAACCAGCCAUUCCCCAAAUGCACGGUCCCAAGCACCCACUGUCGAACCACCAUUCCUUCAAGUACUCACCAUCUCAACCAGCCACACCCUAGUUCUGUUGUUGGACCAACACUGGUCUACCAUAUCAUUGCCAUCGCACUCAUUUUUAGAAACUAUUACACUUCAAGAAAUAGUAGAAGAGGAAUUGAAAGGAAAAAAAGGUUAAACAACUUGACAGAAAAGAUGAAAUGCCAUUGAAAGAAGGAAGAGCAUUUUCUUGUUGUAUCAAUUAAAUGUGUGUAAGAACUAGGUAGGGCAGUACUUAAUGGGUGGCUAUUGUAAUGGCGGUGGUAGAGAUAAGAAAGUAG
rnacentral:lncRNA from 1 species